rnacentral:rRNA from 1 species
AGUGAACGCUGGCGGUAGGCCUAACACAUGCAAGUCGAACGGCAGCACAGUAAGAGCUUGCUCUUACGGGUGGCGAGUGGCGGACGGGUGAGGAAUACAUCGGAAUCUACUUUUUCGUGGGGGAUAACGUAGGGAAACUUACGCUAAUACCGCAUACGACCUACGGGUGAAAGCAGGGGAUCUUCGGACCUUGCGCGAUUGAAUGAGCCGAUGUCGGAUUAGCUAGUUGGCGGGGUAAAGGCCCACCAAGGCGACGAUCCGUAGCUGGUCUGAGAGGAUGAUCAGCCACACUGGAACUGAGACACGGUCCAGACUCCUACGGGAGGCAGCAGUGGGGAAUAUUGGACAAUGGGCGCAAGCCUGAUCCAGCCAUACCGCGUGGGUGAAGAAGGCCUUCGAGUUGUAAAGCCCUUUUGUUGGGAAAGAAAAGCAGCAGGUUAAUACCCCGCUGUUCCGACGGUACCCAAAGAAUAAGCACCGGCUAACUUCGUG